GACGAACGCUGGCGGCGUGCCUAAUACAUGCAAGUAGAACGCUGAAGGAGGAGCUUGCUUCUCUGGAUGAGUUGCGAACGGGUGAGUAACGCGUAGGUAACCUGCCUGGUAGCGGGGGAUAACUAUUGGAAACGAUAGCCAAUACCGCAUAAGAGUAGAUGUCGCAUGACAUUUGCUUAAAAGGUGCAAUUGCAUCACUACCAGAUGGACCUGCGUUGUAUUAGCUAGUUGGUGAGGUAACGGCUCACCAAGGCAACGAUACAUAGCCGACCUGAGAGGGUGAUCGGCCACACUGGGACUGAGACACGGCCCAGACUCCUACGGGAGGCAGCAGUAGGGAAUCUUCGGCAAUGGACGGAAGUCUGACCGAGCAACGCCGCGUGAGUGAAGAAGGUUUUCGGAUCGUAAAGCUCUGUUGUAAGAGAAGAACGAGUGUGAGAGUGGAAAGUUCACACUGUGACGGUAUCUUACCAGAAAGGGACGGCUAACUACGUG
rnacentral:rRNA from 1 species